rnacentral:rRNA from 1 species
CCUACGGGUGACAGCAGUGAGGAAUAUUGGUCAAUGGCCGAGAGGCUGAACCAGCCAAGUCGCGUGAGGGAUGACGGACCUACGGGUUGUAAACCUCUUUUGUCGGGGAGCAAAGAGAGUCUCGUGUGGCUCAUUGAGAGUACCCGAAGAAACAGCAUCGGCUAACUCCGUGCCAGCAGCCGCGGUAAUACGGAGGAUGCGAUCGUUAUCCGGAUUUAUUGGGUGUAAAGGGUGCGCAGGCGGAGGUGCAAGUCUGUGGUCAAAUUGCGGGGCUCAACCCCGUACUGCCGUUGAAACUGCAUCCCUUGAGUGCGCGAGAAGUAUGCGGAAUGCGUGGUGUAGCGGUGAAAUGCAUAGAUAUCACGCAGAACUCCGAUUGCGAAGGCAGCAUACCGGCGCGCAACUGACGCUCAUGCACGAAAGCGGGGGUAUCGAACAGGAUUAGAUACCCCUGUAGUC